rnacentral:rRNA from 1 species
UCCUGACUGACCGAUAGUGAACCAGUACCGUGAGGGAAAGGCGAAAAGAACCCCGGCGAGGGGAGUGAAAAAGAACCUGAAACCGUGUACGUACAAGCAGUGGGAGCCUCUUAAUGGGGUGACUGCGUACCUUUUGUAUAAUGGGUCAGCGACUUAUAUUCUGUAGCAAGGUUAACCGAAUAGGGGAGCCGAAGGGAAACCGAGUCUUAACUGGGCGUUAAGUUGCAGGGUAUAGACCCGAAACCCGGUGAUCUAGCCAUGGGCAGGUUGAAGGUUGGGUAACACUAACUGGAGGACCGAACCGACUAAUGUUGAAAAAUUAGCGGAUGACUUGUGGCUGGGGGUGAAAGGCCAAUCAAACCGGGAGAUAGCUGGUUCUCCCCGAAAGCUAUUUAGGUAGCGCCUCGUGAAUUCAUCUCCGGGGGUAGAGCACUGUUU